UACGUAGGGGGCAAGCGUUGUUCGGAAUUACUGGGCGUAAAGGGCGCGUAGGCGGCAGGCCAAGUCGGGAGUGAAAGCCCGGGGCUCAACCCCGGAAUGUCUUUCGAAACUGGCCAGCUGGAGUGCGGAAGAGGCAACUGGAAUUCCCAGUGUAGCGGUGAAAUGCGUAGAUAUUGGGAAGAACACCUGAGGCGAAGGCGGGUUGCUGGGCCAGCACUGACGCUGAGGCACGAAAGCGUGGGGAGCAAACAGG
rnacentral:rRNA from 1 species